rnacentral:rRNA from 1 species
UACGUAGGGGGCUAGUGUUGUCCGGAUUUAUUGGGCGUAAAGAGCGUGUAGGCGGCCAGGUAGGUCUGCUGUGAAAACUCGAGGCUCAACCUCGAGACGUCGGCGGAAACCAUCUGGCUAGAGUCCGGAAGAGGAGAGUGGAAUUCCUGGUGUAGCGGUGAAAUGCGCAGAUAUCAGGAAGAACACCCGUGGCGAAGGCGGCUCUCUGGGACGGUACUGACGCUGAGACGCGAAAGCGUGGGGAGCGAACAGG